AUGGGUAUAUAUUUCCCCCUGACUCGUGCACGGACAGUCGACCACCAGGUCGGCAAAGCACCCAGAUCAGAUCAAGACGUGAGGAUCAGUUCUUUAAGGAUCAAAAAUGCGGAUCAAGAAGACCAAGUCAAGCCAGAGAAGCAAGAUAUCACUAAGGAAAGAACCUCCCUUGCCGGGCAGGCGAGCCUGGCAAGGUUGGUGUUGCCCUGGAAGCAAGCCUCCAGGAUUGCCCCGGCAGGCCUGCCGGGGCUCGCGGAGACAAAACACCCCACCGCACCACCUCACCACAACGACCUGCCGGGGCUCGCGGAGACAAACCACCCCACCUCACCACCUCACCGCGACGCACGUCGUCGAUCAGUGCGGUGUCAAGCUCCUAAGUGA
rnacentral:rRNA from 1 species